CUCCCGUGCUCCGCCCCCGGUUUUACGUUUCGCCCCCGGCAGCGCGGACAGCGGAGCCAAGAUGGCGGCCGAGUUGGAGUACGAGUCUGUGCUGUGUGUGAAGCCGGACGUCAGCGUCUACCGGAUUCCGCCCCGGGCCUCCAACCGCGGUUACAGGGCAUCUGACUGGAAAUUAGACCAGCCUGAUUGGACUGGUCGCCUCCGAAUCACUUCAAAAGGGAAGACUGCCUAUAUCAAACUCGAGGAUAAAGUUUCAGGUAAUCUUUGCAGGUGACCCUCUAACAUUAAGAAUAUUAAUUUGGUGUGCUUUUAUAAGUACCUUCAAUUUGGGGACUGGAAUGGAAAUACUAGUUGUUAAUUGGAAUUCUGGAUUUUGGCUUCCUUUACUCAAAAAAGUCUUUCUCUUAUCUGUCAGGGGAGCUCUUUGCUCAGGCACCAGUAGAACAAUAUCCUGGUAUUGCUGUGGAGACAGUGACAGAUUCCAGCCGCUACUUUGUAAUCCGGAUCCAGGAUGGUACUGGUAAGAGAACUGGGAUUUUGAGUGGAACGCAGCCAUGAAAAGUGUGUCUGAUUGCAUUUAUCUUUCUUUGGUUUACUUCAUUUUUUCUUCCCUUUCUCUAAAGUUGCUAUAGUUGCUAAAGGAAAAGUAUUAACGUGUUAUUUGUAAUAGAUAAGCACAAGUUCAAGAUGUGGUAAUUCAUAUGUAGACUUAAAUAAAUCAAAAACACAUAGCUAACAAAUGAAUUAACACAUUUUGCACUUUAGGAGGCCGAGGUGGGUGGAUCACCUGAGGUCAGGAGUUCGAGGCCAGCCUGACCAGUAUGAUGAAACCCCGUCGCUACUGAAAAUACAAAACUUAGCCAGGCGUGGUGGCAGGUGCCUGUAAUCCCAGCUACUCGGGUGGCUGAGACAGGAGAAUCGCUUGAAUUGGGGAAGUGGAGGUUGCUGAGAUCAUGCCAUUGCACUCCAGCCUGGGCAACAAGAGCGAAACUCCAUCUCAAAAAAAAAAAAAA
rnacentral:sRNA from 1 species